CCGCCACGGCCUCAGACCAGGCAAGGUGCUCAGGCCGACGGGAUGCGUAGACAAGCAACACGCUCCCUAUCUGGGAGGAGACUGCCAGCCGGUCCUCCUCCUCGCAGGCCUGGUGAAGCCAGCCCCACCUGGCAAGGGACUGUCAGCAAAUUCCCCUCUGCAUCAUCGCGGGAGUGGCAUCCCAGCUCCUCCCCGGCAGGAGCCAACCUUGGCUCCGCCCCAAGGCUGCUCCUACCCGCCAAGGAACCCAGGCUGAAUUAGCCUAUGCAAAGAUCCAGGCUCCGCCUCAAAGACUUUGUCGCUACCAGGAACCAUCUGCAAAUCACCAUCGCAAAUGCACACGGCUGCCAGUCCCUUGCUGCAGUCGAUCCAGCAUCCUCUGAUGCUUUGGGCCUCGCUGCUGUCUUGUUACUCUCUACCCCCACUACAGCCCUCAGUGCCACUCCAAGCUCUCCUCUGAGACAUGUCCGUCUUCCAAACCUCCCAACCCUGCCAGCCAAAGCAGGGAAAGGCACACAACCGCACAGAGGUAGCAGUGCUGUGCCCCGCCCAGGGACGAGCUCCUGGCAUCGCCCAGUGGCUGGUAGCCAGUUCCGCCUCCUUCUUCCCCAAGGGAAGAGGCUGGGGGAGGACGCUGCAAGAAGGUGGCUGCCUGUAAGCCAAAGACAGAGCCUCAGAGAAACCAACACUGUCGCACCUUGAUCUUGGACUUCCAGACUCCAGAACUGUGAGAAACCUCCUUAGAAGUCAUCUAAAUCCUGCUGGAGAGCCCCAAAUCCUUCGCUGGAACUCCAGUCUCUAUGAGGCAACCUAU
rnacentral:lncRNA from 1 species